GGUGGAAUGAGGUGGACAUCAUUACCCUAGGUACAUGUAUGAUCGCCCAAAUAGUGUGACUCUACACCACGUACAACUAGGGAAGUGAAAAGUUGUGUUCCGUUUGUAUACAUUAAAUUGAAAUGCAUUCUGCUGCCAUGUAUAACUAAUUAGAACGAAUUUAAAAAGGGUGGAGCUGGGGAAUGGAAUGUGGCUCAGUGGUUGAGUGCCCCUAAGUUCAAUCCCAGGUACCAAAAAUAAUAAAUAAAUAAAUAAAUAAAUAAGCAAUUUAAACAUGCAGAGCAGCUUUCCCAGCAUGAACAUGGGGAAAUUCAGAGAAGUCUUUCCGACUAGGGACUCCUCCUGAAACUCUCAGGGAACUGGGAAGUCCUUCACGAAUGGGGCUGUAUGAGGUUAAAAGACUGUGACGACCCGGUGGGCGAGCCAUUGACAAGCAAGGUCUGGUUGGGGAAGGUCCAAAGAAACUCGGAUGCAUCUCCGUGGGCUGGCUUCCAGAUCAUAUUUGAAUAGAUGGCUUUUAUUGUUUCAGGAAGACUCACAUACAUGGGUGUAUACACUAGAUGCCCUACUAUGCAACUUACUUUUUUACUUAAGGUACCAAAGACAUCUUGCUGAUGACUACAUAUAGCUCAAACUCACAAUCCAUGCAAUAGAUAUAACAGAACUUAUUCAGCUAGCGCCCUAUUAAUGUACAGAUACUUUGGAAUCAGUGAUAGAAGGAACACGCCUGGAUAUUAGUUCCUGCAUACUGAGGUUUUUAGCACACAGGUCAGCUCCUGUCACUUGAUUCCUCUAGGGGAAAACACAAACUCCUUACCUGGGUUUCUGAUUCCUCCAUUCCCUGGUCCUGUCACCCUCUCUGAGCUCAUCAUGAUAUUCCCUCCCUGUGCCAUUAGACACCAGCUACACCAGCCUUAUUGCAGGUCCUUGAAAUGUGCCAAACCUGUCCCUGCCUUGAGGCUGCCGCUCUGGCUGUUCCCUCUUCUAGAAUGCCCUUCCCUGAUGCUCAGUGACAGUUUCCUCACCAGUGCUCUAGGGAAAUGUCACCUCUUCACAGAUGGCUUCCUGCUCACCCAAGUUUAAGUGGCCACCCUCCCUCUCCUCUGUCAUAUGUUCUCUAUGCAGCCUCCAAAAUGCUUUAAUGUGUUCUCUUAAAAGAUACGUUGAAGUGUCUAACCCCAAGUGACCAUGACUGACCUUGUUUGGGAAUAGUUGCAGAUGCAGGCCCGUUAUGAUGACGUCACACCGCUGCACCUAGUAGAAGAAAACGUAGCCCCAACACUCCAUCACGUCAGCUUAAGAACGGACUUCCUCAAUGAGAAGAAGAGAAAAAAUGUGGCAAAGAGACACAGGAGAGAAGAAUACCCUGUGGCACGUGAUGGGUUGGGACAGAGGCAUCUGAGAGCUAGGGGACACGAAGCUCCUCACCAACCCCCAUGAUCUGGGAGAGAGGCUAGGAGCCAACCCUACUGAUGCCUUGAUUUCAGACUUCUGUUCUCCAGGACUGUGAGGAAUAAGUUCCUGUUUCUUGAAUUCAUGAAGUUUGUGGCUAUUUGUUAUAGCAGCUACAGGAAACUAAUACACAGCCCCAGUCUUUGUCCAGUUCCUUCCUAGUUUCUUCCAUUGUUUCUUUGGGGUCUGCCUCUCCCAUGAGAAUGCAAGCUCCAUGAGAGCAGGGCCUUGUCACCACACCCCCAGUGACUGCCACGGUGACACUGACUGAAUGAAUCAACAGUGGGUUCAGCCUGAAGAAACCUAUCAGUGAGGCCGCUGAGUCGAAUGGCAGACUUUUGUUGUUGUUUGACACUGGGAAUUGCACCAGGGCCUCACUCCGGGCUGUCCCACCGGGCCUCCACCCCAGCCCCAGGCAGUGAGUCAGAUUUCUCUUCCCGAAACACCAUUGCUGUGGCACUCAGUUUCCUAAAUGUAUGCUACCCUCUCCCAGUAAUAAAAUUGUUGGUUGUAA